GGCAGGUUGAAGGUUGGGUAACACUAACUGGAGGACCGAACCGACUAAUGUUGAAAAAUUAGCGGAUGACCUGUGGCUGGGGGUGAAAGGCCAAUCAAACCGGGAGAUAGCUGGUUCUCCCCGAAAGCUAUUUAGGUAGCGCCUCGUGAAUUCAUCUCCGGGGGUAGAGCACUGUUUCGGCUAGGGGGCCAUCCCGGCUUACCAACCCGAUGCAAACUGCGAAUACCGGAGAAUGUUAUCACGGGAGACACACGGCGGGUGCUAACGUCCGUCGUGAAGAGGGAAACAACCCAGACCGCCAGCUAAGGUCCCAAAGUCAUGGUUAAGUGGGAAACGAUGU
rnacentral:rRNA from 1 species